UAUCUCUGUGGUCGUACCUGCUGAAUUCUCCAUAUUCAUCCCAGGUGUAGAAUUCAGAGAAAUAGCAUUGCAGAGGAAGUGCCCAUUCCACCGCUAACUCUGUCCGUAGUCAGCUGGUGGAAGAUAAUCUGCUACAAGU
rnacentral:snoRNA from 1 species